rnacentral:RNase_P_RNA from 1 species
AGAGUUGGUCUAGAGGUUGCGGGAUCAUUUUAUCAAUGAUUGCGAGGAAAGUCCGAACUCCCGAAAGACCACACUUGCUGGAUAACGUCCAGUGCGCGUGAGCGUGAGGAUAGUGCCACAGAAAAAUACCGCCCCCUUUUUUCAGUGAUCAGUAAACAGUGAUCAGUAAUCAGUAACGAAAGUAAAUUCACUGAUAACUAAUAACUUUUCACUGAUAACUUUCCACUGAUAACUGAUAACUGAUAACUGAUAACUGAUUGGGGGUAAGGGUGCAAAGGUGCGGUAAGAGCGCACCAGCAGUAUUGAGAGGUACUGGCUCGGUAAACCCCGGUGGGGAGCAAGGUGGAGGGACAAAGGUUGGUCUUUUUCCUGUCCCGUUUUUAGGAACCGCUUGAGGUAAUUGGUAACAAUUAUCCCAGAUAGAUAACCUCUAUUCCAACAAAGGUAAAAGCAAUUUUACUGCUGUUGGGAAAUACAGAAUUCGGCUUAUGUCUGACUCUCUCC